CUCCCGGCCCACUGAAGGAAAUGAGCACCGGGCCAAACAACAGCUUGUCCUUUCCUUGCCUGACCAUUUCCAUCUUGGCCCUCAUGGGAAUGAAGUUCUGUGGAAGCUUCUCAUUUUAACUGCCUUCUUGGGAACUUGUGCCUUUCUCAUUUACCUCUGGAGAACCAUCCUCGCUAUAAAGCCUCGACAAUAUGAAGUUACUUUAGACCAAAUCAAGAU